rnacentral:rRNA from 1 species
UACGAAGGGGGCUAGCGUUGCUCGGAAUCACUGGGCGUAAAGCGCACGUAGGCGGAUUUCUAAGUCAGGGGUGAAAUCCUGGAGCUCAACUCCAGAACUGCCUUUGAUACUGGGAAUCUCGAGUCCGGGAGAGGUGAGUGGGAACUGCGAGUGUAGAGGUGAAAUUCGUAGAUAUUCGCAAGAACACCAGUGGCGAAGGCGGCUCACUGGCCCGGUACUGACGCUGAGGUGCGAAAGCGUGGGGAGCAAACAGG